rnacentral:rRNA from 1 species
GCAGAGGGGAAUAGCAGGUUGUGCGUCUCUGUAAGAGACUAUUACUGUUACAUGCUACAGACACGACCUGCGAUCUUCAAUCCCAUACUUUGUGGAGCACGCCUGCUGCAGCAAUGGGUGGUAGACAUGUAUGUCAAGAUUGAGAGUUGUCGGUUGAGGUGGUUCAGGAAGAACCAGACGCAGAUUUGGGCCGACUUGUAUAAAGGAGUUGUUGAUGUGAUCACUUCCGGUGAGACGCGAGCAAGCGCUGUUGGGACAAGGAUAGUU